rnacentral:rRNA from 1 species
CGGCGGACGGGUGAGUAAUGCCUAGGAAUCUGCCUGGUAGUGGGGGACAACGUUUCGAAAGGAACGCUAAUACCGCAUACGUCCUACGGGAGAAAGCAGGGGACCUUCGGGCCUUGCGCUAUCAGAUGAGUCUAGGUCGGAUUAGCUAGUUGGUGAGGUAAUGGCUCACCAAGGCGACGAUCCGUAACUGGUCUGAGAGGAUGAUCAGUCACACUGGAACUGAGACACGGUCCAGACUCCUACGGGAGGCAGCAGGC